GUUGGUAAAGGCAGAAAAAGCUGGAGACCAAUUAGAGACCGUCAAGGAGUCCGCUAAAUACCUGUGUAAACAUUUUUGGUCUGAAAAUGACAAACUACAUGUUGAGAUCCUAGUCGCUGGCUGGGACAAUGUGCAAAAGUGAAAUUUGGGGGAUACACCUUGAUGUUGCUCUAAGAUAAAGUAGCUCCUUGGCGUGUCUUUCCUCUUGUUGUUUUUGUUCUCUUCUCGCUCGGCGUCUUCUCUGCCAAUUUGGGAUUUCGGCUUCAGCACGAUCUGAUAGGUCUUGAAAAUAAACAUCUUUGUUUUUAAACUUAGUCACUGUUCUCGCUAUUAGUGGAAUUGGAUUUGGUGAUUAAUUGGAACAUUAGUGUAAACUUGGCAGAAUUUCAUAAAACUUUAUCCUGGUAAGGUGAAGCUAAGAUAGUAAUAAUCAGUCUAUGCUUUAAGAUUGUUGGAACUUAUAUGGAGGUAACUGUUUUUUGGGUUGUAUAUGAUUUGAUGAAUGUAACCUCUCUUUUUGUUGGCCUUUUUUUAUUAGGAGGGUGCACCUUGUAUUUGGUAUGGUAAUCAUCUCUGUCCAAGUAUUGUGGCGUCACAAAGAGCCAUAGGUCCUGGCAGAGUUUCCACACGCGGUAUUUUGGCCAGACAUAAAAUUGGCAUCAGUGAAAAGGAGGCCAUAGAAUUGGCAGAACAAGCUAUUGUUGAAGUUGCAGUAUGUUGUCACCAAAAAGAAGGUUCCCUUGAUGUAUGGGUCAUUAGAGAUGGGAAGAUCACAAAGAACCAGACGCAACUGAUGACCCAUGUCGCAGAGAAGUAUGGUGUUUCAAUUUAGAAUCUUAAGUAAGAUUCUAUUAGAAUACAUUAUUAAGUCUUUUGUUGCAUGGGGUUUGUUUUACAGGGUUCUUUUUAUUUCUUCAAAAUCUUUAAUGUUACAGUAGAA